GACGAACGCUGGCGGCGUGCUUAACACAUGCAAGUCGAACGAUGAAGCUAGAGCUUGCUCUGGUGGAUUAGUGGCGAACGGGUGAGUAACACGUGAGUAACCUGCCCCGAACUCUGGGAUAACUGCUGGAGACGGUAGCUAAUACCGGAUAUGACCAAUGAAGGCAUCUUCUGUUGGUGGAAAGAAUUUCGGUUCGGGAUGGACUCGCGGCCUAUCAGGUGGUUGGGGGGGUGACGGCUCACCAAGGCGACGAUGGGUAGCCGGCCUGGGAGGGUGAUCGGCACAACGGGCACGGAAACACGGCCCGGACUCCUACGGGGGGCGGAAGGGGGGAAUAUUGCACAAUGGGCGCAAGCCUGAUGCAGCACCGCCGCGUGAGGGACGACGGCCUCCGGGUUGUAAACCUCUUUUAGCAGGGAAGAAGCGAAAGUGACGGUACCUGCAGAAAAAGCACCGGCUAACUACGUGCCAGCCGCCGCCGUAA
rnacentral:rRNA from 1 species